rnacentral:tRNA from 1 species
GGUACUAUGGCCGAGUGGUCUAAGGCGUUGGACUUAAGUUCCAAUGGAGAAUUCUCCGCGUGGGUUCGAAUCCCACUGGUACCA